UCCUACGGGGGGCAGCAGUGAGGAAUAUUGGUCAAUGGGCGGAAGCCUGAACCAGCCAAGUCGCGUGAGGGAAUAAGGCCCUACGGGUCGUAAACCUCUUUUGCCGGGGAGCAAGGGCCGGGACGAGUCCCGGUCCGGAGAGUACCCGGAGAAAAAGCAUCGGCUAACUCCGUGCCAGCAGCCGCGGUAAUACGGAGGAUGCGAGCGUUAUCCGGAUUUAUUGGGUUUAGAGGGUGCGUAGGCGGGCUUUUAAGUCAGCGGUAAAAAUUCGGGGCGCAACCCCGUCGGGCCGGUGAAACUGGGGG
rnacentral:rRNA from 1 species